UACAGAGGGGGCAAGCGUUAUUCGGAAUUAUUGGGCGUAAAGGGCGCGUAGGCGGCUUGGCAAGUGGAUGGUGAAAUCCCUCGGCUUAACCGAGGAACUGCCGUCCAAACUGCUUUGCUUGAGACCGGGAGAGGUGAGUGGAAUUCCCAGUGUAGCGGUGAAAUGCGUAGAGAUGGGGGAGAACACUCGUGGCGAAGGCGGCCAGCUAGACCAGUUCUGACACUGAGGCGCGACAGCGUGGGGAGCAAACAGG
rnacentral:rRNA from 1 species